rnacentral:rRNA from 1 species
GACGAACGCUGGCGGCGUGCUUAACACAUGCAAGUCGAACGGUGAAGCUCCAGCUUGCUGGAGUGGAUCAGUGGCGAACGGGUGAGUAACACGUGAGCAACCUGCCCCUGACUCUGGAAUAAGCGCUGGAAACGGCGUCUAAUACUGGAUACGAGAAGGGUCCGCAUGGGCACUUUCUGGAAAGUUUUUCGGUUGGGGAUGGGCUCGCGGCCUAUCAGCUUGUUGGUGAGGUAAUGGCUCACCAAGGCGACGACGGGUAGCCGGCCUGAGAGGGCGACCGGCCACACUGGGACUGAGACACGGCCCAGACUCCUACGGGAGGCAGCAGUGGGGAAUAUUGCACAAUGGGCGAAAGCCUGAUGCAGCGACGCCGCGUGAGGGAUGACGGCCUUCGGGUUGUAAACCUCUUUCAGCAGGGAAGAAGCGAAAGUGACGGUACCUGCAGAAGAAGCACCGGCUAACUACG